rnacentral:tRNA from 1 species
UCCCCGGUAGCUCAAUUGGCAGAGCAUCGGGCUGUUAACCCGAGGGUUGCAGGUUCGAGCCCUGCCCGGGGAGCCA